GUUUGGGGGAGCUUUUUAGCUCCUCCGCUUAUAAGAACCAACCCUUUUGGUGUUUGGUAAAUUGGUGGGAGGCUGGGAGCCUGCUGCUUCCAAAAGUAGCGGCUUUUUCCUUUGAAAAGCAUAAGUCAGGGCGUCAGGCUUGGCCUCCUUUCAGAAGCAGAAGAAGCAGAAGCCGCGGUAUUCAUUGUAGCGGUGAUCACUGUAAAUUAAUUCAAAAUACCAACUUCUAUCCUCUCUUCCUUAAAGAAAUUAUGCACAGACACUUCUCUUCUCCUCCCUCAACUCUCUCUCUCUCCCCUUCUGGAUCACUGGCAGCACUAACUACGGAUUCCUGACGACACAACCUAGCCGUAGCUCGCUCUGCCGAACCAAUCGACCCCGAAUCGAAAUCCGGAGGUAACGUUUUCUGGUGUGAAUUUCCUGAUCGUAUUCAGAGCCUGAGGGCUGCUGCCUGAGGCGGCUGUAUAUUCGUAUUGCUUCGUCUAUGUUUCUGGAAUUGGGGGAUGUGGGAGAAUGGCUGUGUAGGGAGGUUAUGCUUUAGCUCCAAUAUCAUGUCAAAUAUUCUUAUUAGAUAUUCUAGGUUCGGGUUAUGGAUAUUUUAUUAG
rnacentral:lncRNA from 1 species